rnacentral:rRNA from 1 species
GCCUCCCUCCGCCGCCACUACACGACUACCGUACCGGGACGGGACGAGCGAGGUAGGGGUAAGUAAGUUAGGUACGAAGUAGGGGAAACCCGGUACGAUCCAGCGACGCCGCGUGUGUGAAGAAGGCCGUGCGGGUUGGUAAGACACUUUAGUUGGGACGAAAGACUACGGACUAAUAUUCUGUGGUCUUGAUUUAACCCAAAGAAAAAGACACCGGCUAACUCUGUGCCAGCAGCCGCGGUAAUUC